rnacentral:rRNA from 1 species
GAUGAACGCUGGCGGCGUGCCUAAUACAUGCAAGUCGAGCGAACAGACGAGGAGCUUGCUCCUCUGACGUUAGCGGCGGGCGGGUGAGUAACACGUGGAUAACCUACCUAUAAGACUGGGAUAACUUCGGGAAACCGGAGCUAAUACCGGAUAAUAUAUUGAACCGCAUGGUUCAAUAGUGAAAGACGGUUUUGCUGUCACUUAUAGAUGGAUCCGCGCUGCAUUAGCUAGUUGGUAAGGUAACGGCUUACCAAGGCAACGAUGCGUAGCCGACCUGAGAGGGUGAUCGGCCACACUGGAACUGAGACACGGUCCAGACUCCUACGGGAGGCAGCAGUAGGGAAUCUUCCGCAAUGGGCGAAAGCCUGACGGAGCAACGCCGCGUGAGUGAUGAAGGUCUUCGGAUCGUAAAACUCUGUUAUUAGGGAAGAACAAAUGUGUAAGUAACUAUGCACGUCUUGACGGUACCUAAUCAGAAAGCCACGGCUAACUACGUG